GAUUAUCUUUUCUAAGUUGUCUUUGAAGAUGAGCACAGAUGCCUUCGCACCUCGGCUGUAAUCUCGGUCCAGUCCGCCACGCGUAUGGCGUGCACCACACGCGGCCGGCACGACUACCGGGGUAUUCCAUCACAAGACUUUCAACUAAUGUGGCUAAGGUCCAGUCAUUACAGAUAUGAAGUACGACAAAGGUACGAUGAUACAUGAUACCCAUUUUCCAGAUACCAGAUUCAGGCUGACUUUGUACCUAGACAUUCCAAAAAGCAAAAAAAAAAAUGAUAGAUUUAAUUACGGACUUUGUAGUGUGGUUGCGCUCUAAGUACAUUUUCUAAUGUAUAUUUUCCAGAGAUAUCAAUGUGUUCAAUUGGGGCACAUAAUGUUUCACUUACAUGAAUAAAAACCACAUUAUUCUGUA